rnacentral:rRNA from 1 species
UACGGCGGUGCCUAGCGUUGUUCGGAAUUACUGGGCGUAAAGCGCGCGUAGGCGGAUUUGUAAGUCGGGGGUGAAAUCCCGGGGCUCAACCUCGGAACUGCCUUCGAUACUGCAAAUCUCGAGUCCGGAAGAGGUGAGUGGAAUUCCUAGUGUAGAGGUGAAAUUCGUAGAUAUUAGGAAGAACACCAGUGGCGAAGGCGGCUCACUGGUCCGGUACUGACGCUGAGGCGCGAAAGCGUGGGGAGCAAACAGG